CUACGUACCUGGCAGGGGAGAUACCAUUAUCACAAAGGUGGUUUUCCCAGGGCGAGACUCACCCAUUGCACCCCGGGUGUGUUGAUUCCUGCGAUUUUCCCAAAUGUGGGAAACUUGACUGCAUAAUUUGCUUC
ensembl:snRNA U1 U1 spliceosomal RNA